rnacentral:rRNA from 1 species
CCUACGGGUGGCAGCAGUGGGGGAUAUUGGACAAUGGGGGGAACCCUGAUCCAGCGACGCCGCGUGAGUGAAGAAGUAUCUCGGUAUGUAAAGCUCUAUCAGCAGGGAAGAAGAAAUGACGGUACCUGAGUAAGAAGCCCCGGCUAACUACGUGCCAGCAGCCGGGGGAAUACGUAGGGGGCAAGCGUUAUCCGGAAUUACUGGGUGUAAAGGGAGCGUAGACGGUGAUGUAAGUCUGGAGUGAAAGGCGGGGGCCCAACCCCCGAACUGCUCUGGAAACUAUGUGACUGGAGUGCAGGAGAGGUGAGCGGAAUUCGUGGUGUAGCGGUGAAAUGCGUAGAUAUUGGGAGGAACACCAGUGGCGAAGGCGGCACGCUGGACUGUAACUGACGUUGAGGCUCGAAAGCGUGGGGAGCAAACAGGAUUAGAUACCCGGGUAGUC